rnacentral:rRNA from 1 species
UAUGGACGGCGCAAGCGUUGUCCGGAAUCACUGGGCGUAAAGCGCGUGUAGGCGGCUUGGCCAGUCGGAUGUGAAAUCCCGAGGCUCAACCUCGGAACUGCACUCGAAACUGCCUGGCUCGAGUCCCGGAGAGGGUGGCGGAAUUCCCGGUGUAGGGGUGAAAUCCGUAGAUAUCGGGAGGAACACCAGUGGCGAAGGCGGCCACCUGGACGGUGACUGACGCUGAGACGCGAAAGCGCGGGCAGCAAACAGG